GGGAGGAGCAACAGGGAUUGCCCUAGUAACGGCGAGUGAAGCGGCAACAGCUCAAAUUUGAAAUCUGGCUCUUUCAGAGUCCGAGUUGUAAUUUGCAGAGGGCGCUUUGGUGUUGGCAGCGGUCCAAGUUCUUUGGAACAGGACGUCACAGAGGGUGAGAAUCCCGUACGUGGUCGCUAGCCCUCACCGUGUAAAGCCCCUUCGACGAGUCGAGUUGUUUGGGAAUGCAGCUCUAAAUGGGAGGUAAAUUUCUUCUAAAGCUAAAUACUGGCCAGAGACCGAUAGCGCACAAGUAGAGUGAUCGAAAGAUGAAAAGCACUUUGGAAAGAGAGUCAAAUAGCACGUGAAAUUGUUGAAAGGGAAGCGCUUGCAGCCAGACUUGCCUGUAGUUGCUUAUCCGGACUUUUGUCCGGUGCACUCUUCUGCGGGCAGGCCAGCAUCAGUUUGGGCGGUUGGAUAAAGGUCUCUGUCAUGUACCUCCUUUCGGGGAGGCCUUAUAGGGGAGACGACAUGCAACCAGCCUGGACUGAGGUCCGCGCAUCUGCUAGGAUGCUGGCGUAAUGGCUGUAAGCGGCCCGUCUUGAAACACGGACCAAGGAGUCUAACAUCUAUGCGAGUGUUUGGGUGUCAAGCCCAGACGCGUAAUGAAAGUGAACGGAGGUGGGAACCCUUUGGGUGCACCAUCGACCGAUCCUGAUGUCUUCGGAUGGAUUUGAGUAAGAGCAUGGCUGUUGGGACCCGAAAGAUGGUGAACUAUGCUUGAAUAGGGUGAAGCCAGAGGAAACUCUGGUGGAGGCUCGCAGCGGUUCUGACGUGCAAAUCGAUCGUC
rnacentral:rRNA from 1 species